rnacentral:rRNA from 1 species
UACGGAGGGGCUAGCGUUGUUCGGAAUUACUGGGCGUAAAGCGCACGUAGGCGGACUGUUAAGUCGGGGGUGAAAUCCUGGGGCUCAACCUCAGAAUUGCCUCCGAUACUGGCAGUCUCGAGUGCGGGAGAGGUGAGUGGAAUUCCCAGUGUAGAGGUGAAAUUCGUAGAUAUUGGGAAGAACACCAGUGGCGAAGGCGGCUCACUGGCCCGUAACUGACGCUGAGGUGCGAAAGCGUGGGAGCAAACAGG